AGGAAUAUUGGUCAAUGGACGAGAGUCUGAACCAGCCAAGUAGCGUGAAGGAUGAAGGUUCUAUGGAUUGUAAACUUCUUUUAUACGGGAAUAAACGAAUCCACGCGUGGAUUUUUGCAUGUACCGUAUGAAUAAGGAUCGGCUAACUCCGUGCCAGCAGCCGCGGUAAUACGGAGGAUCCGAGCGUUAUCCGGAUUUAUUGGGUUUAAAGGGAGCGUAGAUGGGUUGUUAAGUCAGUUGUGAAAGUUUGCGGCUCAACCGUAAAAUUGCAAUUGAUACUGGCAGUCUUGAGUACAGUUGAGGUAGGCGGAAUUCGUGGUGUAGCGGUGAAAUGCUUAGAUAUCACGAAGAACUCCGAUUGCGAAGGCAGCUUACUAACCUGUAACUGACAUUGAUGCUCGAAAGUGUGGGUAUCAAACAGGAUUAGAUACCCUGGUAGUCCACACGGUAAACGAUGAAUACUCGCUGUAGGUGAUAUACGGUCUGCGGCCAAGCGAAAGCAUUAAGUAUUCCACCUGGGGAGUACGCCGGCAACGGUGAAACUCAAAGGAAUUGACGGGGGCCCGCACAAGCGGAGGAACAUGUGGUUUAAUUCGAUGAUACGCGAGGAACCUUACCCGGGCUUAAAUUGCAACCGAAUAUGGCGGAAACGCUAUAGCUAGCAAUAGCGGUUGUGAAGGUGCUGCAUGGUUGUCGUCAGCUCGUGCCGUGAGGUGUCGGCUUAAGUGCCAUAACGAGCGCAACCCUUGCCGAUAGUUACUAACAGGUUAUGCUGAGGACUCUGUCGGGACUGCCAUCGUAAGAUGUGAGGAAGGUGGGGAUGACGUCAAAUCAGCACGGCCCUUACGUCCGGGGCUACACACGUGUUACAAUGGGGGGUACAGAGGGCUGCUACCACGCAAGUGGAUGCCAAUCCCAAAAACCUCUCUCAGUUCGGAUUGAAGUCUGCAACCCGACUUCAUGAAGCUGGAUUCGCUAGUAAUCGCGCAUCAGCCACGGCGCGGUGAAUACGUUCCCG
rnacentral:rRNA from 1 species